UUAAGUUCAGCGGGUAUCCCUACCUGAUCCGAGGUCAACCAUUAAAAAAUUGGGGGUUAUGGCAAGCAUCCACCGGGCAUCUAUAGCGAGAGAUGUACUACGCUCAGAGCAGGUGGCACCGCCACUGAUUUUAAGGCCCGGGCCGACGCCCGCGGCCCAAUACCAAGCAGAGCUUGAGGGUUGUAAUGACGCUCGAACAG
rnacentral:misc_RNA from 1 species